CCAGCUGACAUCAAACUGAUGCGCUCCUCCAAACAGCCACAUCAGCUCUCCCUGAUGACACCUGGACUCCGCUGGUUAUUCCACAGGGAAAGAUUGCGCAUUUGCCAAGGUUCACCACAGCAGGCAUGUCAUCGGAGGCUACAGGACGAGCCUGUGAUUGGCACGUGACUCAGCCAAUGAGAAGUCUUCGUCGGGUAGCCGGCCCAGCCCCUUGUGAUAAUUGGAAGCAAGAGUGCAUUAGGAAGAAGGAAAGCAAUGUCUGAUGGGAGUCGUCCGGACCGAGCCAGAUGACCCUCCACCUGGAAAACACGGGGCACUUAAAGCAGCAAAGGUCCUGCUUUGAGAGGUGAUGAAUCACCGUUUGGAGGGAUUCAGUUUAUGAAAAUAAGAAAAAUAAACAUCUAAAUGCUUCUGAGGGAGAAGCUGACUUUGGGGAGAUCGUCAACAUCCUCGUCGCCAACCUCUCUGUCCUGAAGCCUCACUUUUCCCUGGACAUCCAGAGUGCCUGGAUGCUCUGCUGCAGCGGUCAUGUGGGAGCAGUCAGAGAGUCACCCACGAGGCCCCGAACUGCAGCCAGCAGUGAUCAAUAACCAACCUCAGAACAUGGCAGCCCUUGAUUUGUUUCUGCUGUUUGAAGUCCGGACCUGCUGAUCUAAUCCCUCAGAUGGAUGUGAAUCUUAAGUAACAUUUGUCUUUGAUCCAUUAUUCAUCCGAUUCUUGAGAGGGAGCUAUUGAUAAAUUGACCAAAUGGACACAAGAGUUCUGCACAGAACACAGUGAAGGUUCAGCUCAGGUGUUCCUCACUGACCUGCCUCACGCUAUAACAGCACCAGGAAUGAUUUGUGCUGCUUUAUAUUGGAUCCUUGUUCUGGUGCGAGGCCUCCAAGUGGGAAUUGUGUCAAAGAGUGCUCGUCAUGAGACAGUUUUCAAGGAGACUAAAGGGUUUGGGCUCCUAAUUUUCAAAUAGAUAUAACUUAAUGCUGCAUCUUAAAAUGGUACAUUAGACAAUAAUGUACCUCCAUCUUUGUGCUAGUAGUUUAGGGAAACCUCGUUCCUGUUUCAACAUGACAUUUACAAAACCAUUUCUCUUUGAAAUGUGCAUUCCCUUUAUGCUCCUAUAUGUUUCUUUUAAUAUUCAUCUCUUUUGUGUUAUUUCUUUUAAUAUGUGGGAUUUGAAUAAAGGUAAAAAAUGCAGCCAGGUACCAACAUGUGAUGGAAC